GGAAUCUUGCGCAAUGGGCGAAAGCCUGACGCAGCGACGCCGCGUGAGGGAUGAAGGCCUUCGGGUUGUAAACCUCUGUCAGGGGGGAAGAACCCGGAGCCGGUGAAUACCCGGCUCCACUGACGGUCCCCACAGAGGAGGCACCGUCCAACUCCGUGCCAGCAGCCGCGGUAAGACGGCGGGUGCAAACGUUGUUCGGAAUCACUGGGCGUAAAGGGCGCGUAGGCGGACUUGUAAGUCGGGAGUGAAAACUCGGGGCUCAACCCCGAGCCUGCUUCUGAAACUGCGAGUCUUGAGGACCGGAGAGGAAAGUGGAAUUCCUAGUGUAGCGGUGGAAUGCGUAGAUAUUAGGAAGAACACCAGUGGCGAAGGCGACUUUCUGGACGGUUCCUGACGCUGAGGCGCGAAAGCUAGGGGAGCAAA
rnacentral:rRNA from 1 species